UACGGGGGGGGCAAGCGUUGUUCGGAAUUACUGGGCGUAAAGGGCUCGUAGGCGGCCAACUAAGUCAGACGUGAAAUCCCUCGGCUUAACCGGGGAACUGCGUCUGAUACUGGAUGGCUUGAGGUUGGGAGAGGGAUGCGGAAUUCCAGGUGUAGCGGUGAAAUGCGUAGAUAUCUGGAGGAACACCGGUGGCGAAGGCGGCAUCCUGGACCGCAACUGACGCUGAGACACGAAAGCGUGGGUAGCAAACAGG
rnacentral:rRNA from 1 species